rnacentral:rRNA from 1 species
CGCGUAGUUAGCCGGGGCUUCUUAGUCAGGUACCGUCAUUUUCUUUCCUGCUGAUAGAGCUUUACAUACCGAAAUACUUCUUCACUCACGCGGCGUCGCUGCAUCAGGGUUUCCCCCAUUGUGCAAUAUUCCCCACUGCUGCCUCCCGUAGGAGUUUGGGCCGUGUCUCAGUCCCAAUGUGGCCGUUCACCCUCUCAGGCCGGCUACUGAUCGUCGCCUUGGUGGGCCUCUACCCCGCCAACAAGCUAAUCAGACGCGGGUCCAUCGUAUACCACCGGAGUUUUUCACACCGGACCAUGCGAUCCUGUGCGCUUAUGCGGUUUUAGCACCUAUUUCUAAGUGUUAUCCCCCUGUAUACGGCAGGUUACCCACGCGUUACUCACCCGUCCGCCACUAACAGAUAAAUCACUAGGUUUCAUUACCUGUCCGUUCGACUUGCAUGUGUUAAGCACGCCGCCAGCGUUCAUCCUGAGCCAGGAUCAAACUCU